rnacentral:lncRNA from 1 species
GCUGACUCACAAUGACCUCACCCACUUCAGCUCUCUCUGUCUCCCACGGUCACCAUCAGCAGGACUGAGUGAUGUAGGAACAGGGAGCCAACAGCAGGUUGUUAAACUGCAAUCAAAAGCACUUAGUAGGAAUGAAUCUGUCUCUAUUAUGAGAUUUGAACUCCUGACAUCUUUAUCCACUGGAACAUGAGUGCCCAGGACACAACAGAGAGGGGAUUUUGAGAUCGUUUUUCAAGCCCUGUGGCUGUGAGCCAGUUGCAGCAUGAGGAAAAGCCCUCCAACACCCCAAUGUACAGGAAAGAGAAGGUAAGGCAAUUCUCUCCAGGCAGCUUUCAGAUAUGGUGCAUUCAGUGAAGUGCCCCAGGCCAGCAAAA